GUCGCGUCUCUCGCGAGAGCAGGCGUGCUGGCCGCUGCGGCCGGCGGGGCGAUGGAGUCGACUGUGGAGGAGCUGAUGCCGCGGCUGCUGCCUGUUGGAGACUAUGACCUACCCGACGACUUCGACCCCACCGUGCCGCCCCGGACGCCGCAAGAGUACCUGAGGCGCGUCCAGAUUGAAGCAGCGCGAUGCCCAGAUGUGGUCGUGGCACAAAUAGACCCCAAGAAACUAAGAAAGAAGCAGACGGUAAACAUUGCAAUUUCUGGAUGUCAGCCUGCUCCAGAAGGAUAUUCUCCAACACUCAAGUGGCAGCAGCAGCAAGUGGCCAAUUUCUCAUCUGUUCGUCAGAGCCUGAACAAGCACAGGAAUCACUGGCGGUCGCAGGAUUUGGACAGUAAUGUUAACAUGCCCAAGUUAGAGGAUGAAGAAGGUUGGAAGAAGUUCUGCCUGGGUGAAAGAGUAUAUGCAGAAAUAGAUGCAGAAUCUGAUAAUGAAAAUCUAGGAGUUGAUUACAUAAAGGUUGGCUUUCCUCCUUUGCUAAGUAUUGUAAGCAGAAUGAAUCAGGCCACAGUAACCAGUGUCUUAGAAUACCUGAUAAGCUGGUUUGGAGAGAGAAAAUUUACUCCAGAACUGGGUAGAUGGUUUUAUGCUCUGUUAGCAUGCCUUGAAAAACCUUUGUUACCUGAAGCUCACUCCCUUAUUCGACAGCUGGCAAGGCGGUGCUCAGAAGUGAGAGUACUAGAGUCUGCGGGAGAAUGAGAGGAAGACUACAACAUGUAACAUGGCAGGUAACUUUUUUCUAGUGGAUAUGGUUAACAGAAAAACUGUUCUGGGAUUUGUUUCUCUUUCAGGAGAACAAGAAUGAAGAGCAAGUUUCAGCUCUGAACCUGUUAAUCUGCUUAGUUAGCAGAUACUUUGAUCAACGUGAUUUAGCUGAUGAACCCUCCUAGACUUUUCUGAGAGAACCACUUUCUGUUGCCAUAGUACAAACAGUGUACAGGUCUGAAGCGUGCAGUGUCUUUCUGUAAAGUACAAUACGACUUCUUCAGAGCACCCUCAACAUAAUUCAUUUGGGACAGCUGUGAAUAACUUAAGCUGAUCUUUAGCAUGAAGGUAUUACUCUCCAGUAUCCUCAUUAUAAAAUGGUCCAUGAAUUCUGUCAUUAUCUCUCAAGCAACUGUCUUAGUGUAAUAGAUUCUUCAUUAUAAAUUUUUACCAUCGGAGUAAUCCUGCGGAUGCUGCCAUUAGGUAAAGACUUCCAAGUUUAAGGAGAUGUCACAGAUGACUGUUCCUUAUCUAAUACACAACCCUUGAGGUCUUUUUUUAAUAAAACUAAAAUGUCCUUUAAAGUGUUCUUAAA